CAAUUCGGGCCCGGCCGAGGCACAAUUGUAGCAGUAGCAGUCGCCUGAAAGGACGAAAGAAACACGAUCAGGUGAAAACCGCGACCCGGUUCAUCGUGACGGAUUGUCGUUUAUCAGAUUCGAAGCAGUCAGUUGUUCCUUCAAGAACCUGGUCGAAAGAUGUCAAAAUUCAUGACGUCGAGUUGGGGAACGAUGCAGAAAAGAUUGAGAAACACUGACUCCUCAGACACCUAAAAGUUCGCGGCGUUUUGCUGCACGUGUUCGUAGUUUCGAUGUUCGCGGAACCACGGAGCCGAACGUGUAUCUUCCGAAUUUUUUAUCCCAAGUUUCCCUUUCCACUGUACGCGCCGCUUGUGUCUCUCCUCGGAUAUUAUUCAUCGCGAUUCCGUUACUCAGGCACGGUUGCGUCACUGUCGAGAUACCCGACUCCUUGGGUUAAACAAGCGUAACGCGAAAUGGAAAUGAAAAAGAACAGAACGGCGAACUGUAUCACGUGUCACGUACGCCGCACGUGCGGAUUUUUCAUCUGGGAACUGGUCCAGAAUCGAGGCGAGUUGUCGAUCCGUUCCAGGCGACGCGUAGCUAGAACGCAAGAUUUUCUUCGUUCCUAACGGUAUUCUAAUUCUUUGU